GGGUCGAUGUCCGAGUGGUUAAAGGAGGCGGUCUGUAAAAUCGUCGCGUGAGCUACGCAGGUUCGAAUCCUGCUCGGCCCA
rnacentral:tRNA from 1 species